rnacentral:rRNA from 1 species
AAUGCGAUAUUACGUGAAUCAUCGAAUCUUUGAACGCACAUUGCGCCCUCUGGUAUUCCGGAGGGCAUGCCU